AUGGGAGGGGUGAAGAAGCCCCAAGGAGGGGUUGGGAGAGGACCUUCCGAGCUCAGCGAACUCUUAAGCAGCAGAGCCUGGAUGCAAACUGGGGCCUUCUCUUUCCCAACCGGGGCUCCUCCUGCAAACCAGACCAACAGGCCAGGCGACAAAGUGAACAGGAAGGUCAGGAAGGUAUUUGGCCUUGUUUCCCUGGGGCCACCGCCUGACCUUUUGACGCCUUGGGAACAAGGAAGGAAGGAGAAGGAAUCGACGGUCCCAGCCGCGCCGGGUAUUCCUUGCUAUGUGGUGGGAUCGCAAUUACGGCUUCGUGGACGACUCAGUACUCUGUGCGGUGGCACCUCGAGGAACCCCUGGCCCUCGCAGGACCCCGGGCUCCUUGUCGUUGGCAGAGCCCGGAUUUUCCCCAGACCCCGGGCACCGGGCUUCACCACCUGCGUCUUUAUAGAGCUGUGAGCGCUCCCAGGAGCAAAGUCUCGACUCCUUCGGCGGCUGCCACGAGCAGGACUUCUCCACGCCCCAAAGACUGGACUUAACGCGGCUUCCUGGGUCGCGGGGCUGCAGCGUCUGCUCUCAGGCCCCAGGCCCAGGCCCCCGCCCCGGCCACCUCCGUCCGUUCCCGUCAGGGGCCACCUGCCCUGGGAGCCGACCUGGGGUCAGUCAGGGCACCCGGGGGCUGAGGGCGGAUCGGGGCGGCGGGCGGGAGCGCCCUCGGCCUUCCCGCCCCGCCCGCCCGCUCUCCUGGGACGCGGG
rnacentral:lncRNA from 1 species